rnacentral:rRNA from 1 species
UACGUAGGGGGCAAGCGUUGUCCGGAAUUAUUGGCGUAAAGAGCGCGUAGGCGGUCCGAUAAGUCGGCUGUGAAAGUCAGGGGCUCAACCCUUGAAAGCCGGCCGAUACUGUCGGACUAGAGUCCGGAAGAGGCAAGUGGAAUUCCCGGUGUAGCGGUGAAAUGCGCAGAGUAUCAGGAGGAACACCGAUGGCGAAGGCAGCUCACUGGGACGGUACUGACCGCUGAGACGCGAAAGCGUGGGGAGCAAACAGG